AAUAGAUACCCAGGUAGUCCACGCCGUAAACGAUGAGUGCUAGGUGUUAGGGGUUUCCGCCCUUAGUGCUGCAGCUAACGCAUUAAGCACUCCGCCUGGGGAGUACGGUCGCAAGACUGAAACUCAAAGGAAUUGACGGGGGCCCGCACAAGCGGUGGAGCAUGUGGUUUAAUUCGAAGCAACGCGAAGAACCUUACCAGGUCUUGACAUCUCGCUGACCGCCAUGGAGACAUGGCCUUCCCUUCGGGGACAGCGGUGACAGGUGGUGCAUGGUUGUCGUCAGCUCGUGUCGUGAGAUGUUGGGUUAAGUCCCGCAACGAGCGCAACCCUUGUCCUUAGUUGCCAUCAUUCAGUUGGGCACUCUAAGGAGACUGCCGUACAAAUACGGAGGAAGGUGGGGAUGACGUCAAAUCAUCAUGCCCCUUAUGACCUGGGCUACACACGUGCUACAAUGGGUGGUACAAAGGGCGGCAAAACCCGGCGAGGGGGGAGCGAAUCCCAAAAAGCCACUCUCAGUUCGGAUUGCAGGCUGCAAC
rnacentral:rRNA from 1 species